ACCAGCAUGGUGUAGUGGUUUGAGCAUUGGACUAUGACUCUGAAGACCAGGGUUUGAAUCCCUGCUCAGCCA